CUACAUCAGAGAGCAUCUCUUUGGAGCCUCACAAAUUGCAGAAUUCUGAGCUCCAUCCUCCUCGGUAAUCUGCAGCAUGUGAAAGGUCAUUGACGUGAGAACGGCGAACGGAAGCCCAGUAUUAACCCACCUGCUGUUGCCCUGGACGACAACAUCUCUUCACACUAAUUAUUCUGAAUGAAGUCAAUAUGUCGGGACUUCAAAGGAGGAUGACGGACGCCUUGCACAGGCCGGAUCCGGAACGGAACGUCCCCGACGGCACGCGGUUGAAUCCGGCAUAGAUGUAAUAGUCCAC